rnacentral:rRNA from 1 species
UGGGGAAUAUUGGACAAUGGGGGAAACCCUGAUCCAGCAACGCCGCGUGGAGGAUGAAGGUCUUCGGAUUGUAAACUCCUGUUAGGGGGGACGAAGGAAUGCCGGCGAACAGCCGGCAAACUUGACGGUACCCCCAGAGGAAGCCCCAGCUAACUCUGUGCCAGCAGCCGCGGUAAUACAGAGGGGGCAAGCGUUAUUCGGAAUUAUUGGGCGUAAAGGGCGCGUAGGCGGCCUUGUAAGUCUUGGGUGAAAUCCCUCAGCUCAACUGAGGAACUGCCUCGGAUACUGCAGGGCUUGAGGCCGGGAGAGGGUAGUGGAAUUCCCAGUGUAGCGGUGAAAUGCGUAGAUAUUGGGAGGAACACCGGUGGCGAAGGCGGCUACCUGGACCGGUUCUGACGCUGAUGCGCGAAAGCGUGGGGAGCAAACAGGAUUAGAUACCCUGGUAGUCCACGCUGUAAACGAUGGGUGCUCGGUGUCGCGGGUAUCGACCCCUGCGGUGCCUUAGUUAACACGUUAAGCACCCCGCCUGGGGAGUACGGUCGCAAGGCUGA